rnacentral:rRNA from 1 species
UACGUAGGGUGCAAGCGUUGUCCGGAAUUAUUGGGCGUAAAGAGCUUGUAGGCGGUUUGUCGCGUCUGCUGUGAAAUUUCGGGGCUCAACCCCGAACUUGCAGUGGGUACGGGCAGACUAGAGUGUGGUAGGGGAGACUGGAAUUCCUGGUGUAGCGGUGAAAUGCGCAGAUAUCAGGAGGAACACCGAUGGCGAAGGCGGGUCUCUGGGCCGAAACUGACGCUGAGGAGCGAAAGCGUGGGGAGCGAACAGG